rnacentral:rRNA from 1 species
AACGAACGCUGGCGGCAUGCCUAACACAUGCAAGUCGAGCGCCCGUAGCAAUACGGGAGCGGCGCACGGGUGAGUAACGCGUGGGAACCUGCCCAGAGGUCUGGGACAACCGCGGGAAACUGCGGCUGAUACCGGAUGAUUCCUGAGGGACAAAGAUUUAUCGCCUUUGGAGGGGCCCGCGUCGGAUUAGGUAGUUGGUGGGGUAACGGCUCACCAAGCCUAUGAUCCGUAACUGGUCUGAGAGGAUGACCAGUCACACUGGGACUGAGACACGGCCCAGACUCCUACGGGAGGCAGCAGUGGGGAGUAUUGGACAAUGGGGGCAACCCUGAUCCAGCAAUGCCGCGUGGGUGAUGAAGGCCUUCGGUUGUAAAGCCUUCGCGGGACGAGUGAUGACGGUACCGCAGAAGAAGCCCCGGCUAACUUCGUGCCAGCAGCCGCGGUAAU